AGAGAAAGAGGAGACGGCGUCGUGCGCACACGCUGCGCUCUACAUAUAUAUAUAUAUAUAUAUUUUUAAUAAAACACGGAAAUAUAUUUAAAUGUGUCCGUGUGUCGCUACCUUAAGGACCCAAGUAUUGAUUGAUAGACAAAGUCAGCGCGGACUUACUGGGUUUUUAUUUUUUAUUUUUUUGGGCUGCGUGAAUCAAGUUUCGAGGGGGGGGGGGGAGAGACCUGGCCCACCGACCGAACCGACUCUCUAAAGACCCGGACCAGAACUCUGGAUCGCGCAACUUUUUUAUAUUUAGUUUAGCUAAACCGCUUAGCUAACUAAAUUAUAAAGUUGCUCCUCUCCUCGUCCGCGAUGUCUGGAAGCGAGGACGACGGCGCGGACGGCUACGGAGCCCCGGAGGACCGGCUACUUCACGACGAUGAGGAAGAGGAGGUCUCGGAGAACGAGACCCCGAAGGUGAAGAAGAAGAAGAAGGCCAAGAAGAGCAAAGAGAGCAAGGGCAGCAAGAGGCGGUCGCGCAGAGAGGUAAAAAAAAAAACUACACGAAGUACACAACAACUUUUUUUUUUUGAUCCCAUGUCCCACAU
rnacentral:lncRNA from 1 species